UGGCGUUGUGGGCGACGCGGACGCCUCGCGGUGCCUGUGGGCAUCACGCCGCCGCCGGAUCUUCUCCAGCAGCGUCAC
rnacentral:tRNA from 1 species